GGGUGAGUAACACGUGGACAACCUGCCUCAAGGCUGGGGAUAACAUUUGGAAACAGAUGCUAAUACCGAAUAAAACUUAGAGUCGCAUGACACAAAGUUAAAAGGCGCUUCGGCGUCACCUAGAGAUGGAUCCGCGGUGCAUUAGUUAGUUGGUGGGGUAAAGGCCUACCAAGACAAUGAUGCAUAGCCGAGUUGAGAGACUGAUCGGCCACAUUGGGACUGAGACACGGCCCAAACUCCUACGGGAGGCUGCAGUAGGGAAUCUUCCACAAUGGGCGAAAGCCUGAUGGAGCAACGCCGCGUGUGUGAUGAAGGCUUUCGGGUCGUAAAGCACUGUUGUAUGGGAAGAACAGCUAGAAUAGGAAAUGAUUUUAGUUUGACGGUACCAUACCAGAAAGGGACGGCUAAAUACGUGCCAGCAGCCGCGGUAAUACGUAUGUCCCGAGCGUUAUCCGGAUUUAUUGGGCGUAAAGCGAGCGCAGACGGUUUAUUAAGUCUGAUGUGAAAGCCCGGAGCUCAACUCCGGAAUGGCAUUGGAAACUGGUUAACUUGAGUGCAGUAGAGGUAAGUGGAACUCCAUGUGUAGCGGUGGAAUGCGUAGAUAUAUGGAAGAACACCAGUGGCGAAGGCGGCUUACUGGACUGCAACUGACGUUGAGGCUCGAAAGUGUGGGUAGCAAACAGGAUUAGAUACCCUGGUAGUCCACACCGUAAACGAUGAACACUAGGUGUUAGGAGGUUUCCGCCUCUUAGUGCCGAAGCUAACGCAUUAAGUGUUCCGCCUGGGGAGUACGACCGCAAGGUUGAAACUCAAAGGAAUUGACGGGGACCCGCACAAGCGGUGGAGCAUGUGGUUUAAUUCGAAGCAACGCGAAGAACCUUACCAGGUCUUGACAUCCUUUGAAGCUUUUAGAGAUAGAAGUGUUCUCUUCGGAGACAAA
rnacentral:rRNA from 1 species